GAGCUCAUAGCUCAGGUGGUAGAGCAAUUGACUUUUAUCAGCGGGUCCGAGGUGCGAAUCCUUGUGCGCCCAACA
rnacentral:tRNA from 1 species